rnacentral:rRNA from 1 species
CGUAAUGAUUUGAGCGCUGUCUCAACAAUGCACCCGGUGAAAUUGAAAUACCAGUGAAGAUGCUGGUUACCUGCGCCAGGACGGAAAGACCCCAUGGAGCUUUACUCCAGCUUGAUACUGGGAUUCGGUAUUGCAUGUACAGGAUAGGUGGGAGGCCGUGAAGAGAGGACGCCAGUCUUCUUGGAGCCACUGUUGGGAUACCACCCUUGUGAUACUGGAUUUCUAACCAGCCACCGUGAUCCGGUGGUGGGACAAUGUCAGGUGGGGAGUUUGACUGGGGCGGUCGCCUCCGAAAGGGUAUCGGAGGCGCUCAAAGGUUCCCUCAGAAUGGUUGGAAACCAUUCAAAGAGUGCAAAGGCAUAAGGGAGCUUGACUGCGAGACCGACGGGUCGAGCAGGUACGAAAGUAGGA